rnacentral:misc_RNA from 1 species
UCCGAUUUACACCGGCGGUCUCCUAUGAGUUCCCGGCAUUACCCGCUGGCAACAUAGGACGAGGGUUGCGCUCGUUGGCGGACUUAACCGUACACCUCACGGCACGAGCUGACGACAGCCAUGCAACAAGUGUCUUCAUGUCCCCUUGUGGGGGAGGCACCCAUCUCUGGAUGUUGCAAUCGAUGUCAAACCUGGGUAAGGUUCUUCGGUUAGUAUCGAAUUAAUCCACAUGCUCCACCGCUUGUGCGGGUCCCCGUCAAUUCAUUUGAGUUUCAACCUUGCGGCCGUACUCCCCAGGCGGGAUACUUAGUGCGUUAGCUGCGGCACAAGAGGGGUCGAUACCUCUUACGCCUAGUAUCCAUCGUUUAGGGCGUGGACUAC